rnacentral:lncRNA from 1 species
CACCCAUGGAGCGCCCAGAGGCCGGCGGGAGCUCCAGGUUCACCUCCUCCUCCUCCAGGAAAUCUCACUUCCAACUGGAUGUCUGGAUGAACUACUGAAAGCUGCUGAGUGUCCUGCAGCAGCUUGACUACCACACAAAUGAAUCCACUCAAAUGUUGGCAAGUGGAGCAGAGUCCCAGGACAGUCUGCAAUCUCUACAGGUACAGAAACACCCCCAGUUCAAGGAUCUUCACACCUGGAUUUAGGCCUACUCCUGCAACUACCCCAG